GGGUGCGAUCAUACCAGCGUUAAUGCACCGGAUCCCAUCAGAACUCCGUAGUUAAGCGCGCUUGGGCUAGAGUAGUACUGGGAUGGGUGACCUCCCGGGAAGUCCUAGUGUUGCACCCUC
rnacentral:rRNA from 1 species